rnacentral:rRNA from 1 species
UUCCGGUUGAUCCUGCCGGAGGCUACCGCUAUUGGAGUUCGAUUAAGCCAUGCGAGUCGCGAGAAAUUAGAUUCUCGGCGUACCGCUCAGUAACACGUGGGUAACCUGCCCUAUGCUGGAUAAUAACCUCGGGAAACUGAGAAUAAUGAUCCAUAGUUCACUACGCCUGGAACGGUGAGUGGAUGAAAGCUCCGGCGGCAUAGGAUGGGCCUGCGGCGUAUCAGGUUGUAGGGGGUGUAACGUACCCUCUAGCCCUCUACGCGUACGGGUGUUGGGAGACAUAGCCCGGAGAUGGAUUCUGAGACACGAAUCCAGACCCUACGGGGUGCAGCAGGCGCGAAAACUUGGCAAUGCGAGAAAUCGUGACCAGGGAACUCCAAGUGCAUGGGGUAAGACCCAUGCUUUUCUUGACUCUAAAUAGGUCUUGGAAUAAGGGGUGGGUAAGGACGGUGCCAGCCGCCGCGGUAAUACCGGCGCCUCAAGUGGUAGUCGCUUUUAUUGGGCCUAAAACGUCCGUAGCCGGUCUGAUACAUUCGUGGGUAAAUCAACCAGCUUAACUGGUUGAAUUCUGCGAGGACGGUCAGACUUGGGACCGGGAGAGGUGUGGGGUACGCUCAGGGUAGGGGUAAAAUCCUGUCAUCCUGAGCGGACCACCUGUUGCGAAGGCGCCACACUAGAACGGAUCCGACGGUCAGGGACGAAGCCUAGGGGCACGAACCGGAUUAGAUACCCGGGUAGUCCUAGGUGUAAACGCUGUGGACUUGAUGUUGGGGGUGCUCCGAGCACUCUCAGUGUCGAAGCGAAGGUGAUAAGUCCACUGCCUGGGAAGUACGGUCGCAAGGCUGAAACUUAAAGGAAUUGGCGGGGGAGCACCGCAACCUGAGGAUUGUGCGGUUUAAUUGGAGUCAACGCCGG